UACGUAGGGUGCAAGCGUUGUCCGGAAUUAUUGGGCGUAAAGAGCUCGUAGGCGGUCUGUCGCGUCGGCUGUGAAAACCCGGAGCUCAACUCCGGGCCUGCAGUCGAUACGGGCAGACUGGAGUUCGGCAGGGGAGACUGGAAUUCCUGGUGUAGCGGUGAAAUGCGCAGAUAUCAGGAGGAACACCGGUGGCGAAGGCGGCUCACUGGCCCGAUACUGACGCUGAGGCACGAAAGCGUGGGGAGCAAACAGG
rnacentral:rRNA from 1 species